rnacentral:misc_RNA from 1 species
UGGUAUACCCUUGUACAGACAAUCAGAAAGAUUAACUUUGAGGCCCUCUAUAUCAAAAGAAAUUUCAAUCAUAAAAAAUUCUCCUGUGUCUAUACAAAAGAUCAUCCUAUGAUUUUUAUUAAUUUCUGGUUCCCAACUCCAAGAGCACACAUAUUUUGAGGUUGAUUUUACAUUACCGCCUUCACUAUCAAUACACAUGGGGUCAUAAUCCCGAAGCUCCAGCAAAGCACAUGCAGCAACAUUGAACAAACC